rnacentral:rRNA from 1 species
UACAGAGGGUGCGAGCGUUAAUCGGAAUUACUGGGCGUAAAGCGUGUGUAGGUGGUUUGCUAAGUCAGGUGUGAAAUCCUUGGGCUCAACCCAAGAACUGCAUUUGAUACUGGCAGGCUAGAGUGUGGAAGAGGAUGGUGGAAUUCCCGGUGUAGCGGUGAAAUGCGUAGAUAUCGGGAGGAACAUCAGUGGCGAAGGCGGCCAUCUGGUCUAACACUGACACUGAGACACGAAAGCGUGGGGAGCAAACAGG